rnacentral:rRNA from 1 species
UACAUGGGGGUGCAAACGUUGCUCGGAAUCAUUGGGCGUAAAGCGCGCGUAGGCGGUUACUUAAGUCGAAUGUGAAAGCCCUCGGCUUAACUGAGGAGGUGCAUCCGAAAACUGAGUAGCUAGAGUACGAAAAGAGGGUCGCGGAAUUCCCCGGUGUAGAGGUGAAAAUUCGUAGAUAUCGGGAGGAACACCGGUGGCGAAGGCGGCGACCUGGGUCGAGACUGACGCUGAGGCGCGAAAAGCGUGGGGGAGCAAACAGG